AACGAACGCUGGCGGCAUGCCUAACACACGCAAGUCGAACGAGACCUUCGGGUCUAGUGGCGCACGGGUGCGUAACACGUGGGAAUUUGCCUCGGGGUAUGGAAUAACUCAGGGAAACUUGAGCUAAUACCAUAUAAUGUCUUCGGACCAAAGAUUUAUCGCCCUGAGAUAAGCCCGCGUAGGAUUAGCUAGUUGGUGAGGUAAAGGCUCACCAAGGCGACGAUCCUUAGCUGGUCUGAGAGGAUGAUCAGCCACACUGGGACUGAGACACGGCCCAGACUCCUACGGGAGGCAGCAGUGGGGAAUAUUGGACAAAUGGGCGAAAGCCUGAUCCAGCAAUGCCGCGUGAGUGAUGAAGGCC
rnacentral:rRNA from 1 species